rnacentral:misc_RNA from 1 species
AUGUGAAUGAGAGUGAGAUCUUUUUGUGUAGAACUGAACCCUUAUCUGCUGAUAACUAUAAGCUUUUGAAAAAGAGGAUUGAUGAGAUGUAUCAGGUUAACUUGAUUCUUGAUAAUUUGCCGGCAAUAAGGUAUACCAGGAAGGAGUCAUACCUCUUGAGGUGGACGGGGUAUCCUGUUGGAAUUAAGGUCCAGGAUACCUACUAUGUGUUUAACCAUUUGAAGUUUACAGUUCUUGUUCACAAGUAUGAAGAGGCCAAUGUAGCACGUGUGAUGGGGACUGGAGAUGCUGCCGAGGUCAUUCCAACAAUUGGGAAUGAAGGGUCGGAUAUUCCAGGGUACAUGGUUGUGGGAUUUGAAGUGGUUCCCUGCAACUUCAUGCAUAAUGUUCAGUCAGUGAAAAACUCAAAAAUGUAUGAUAAAUACCCAUCCCCAAUUAAAUGUGAUCCUACCACUGUGGCUAUGCCAAUUAAGGAGAAUGAGCCUAUUGUAUUUACCUAUGAGGUCACAUUUGAGGAGAGUGAUAUCAAGUGGCCAUCAAGAUGGGAUGCCUAUUUGAAGAUGGAGGGGUCAAAGGUGCAUUGGUUCUCAAUCAUGAAUUCUCUGAUGGUUAUCACCUU